UACGUAGGGGGCCAGCGUUGUCCGGAAUCAUUGGGCGUAAAGCGCGUGUAGGCGGUUCGGUAAGUCCGCUGUGAAAGUCGGGGGCUCAACCCUCGGAUGCCGGUGGAUACUGUCGAGCUUGAGUACGGAAGAGGCGAGUGGAAUUCCUGGUGUAGCGGUGAAAUGCGCAGAUAUCAGGAGGAACACCAAUUGCGAAGGCAGCUCGCUGGGACGUUACUGACGCUGAGACGCGAAAGCGUGGGGAGCAAACAGG
rnacentral:rRNA from 1 species